AUACCACCGCAUACUAAUAAAUAAGACAUAACAGAUAACCAAAUUCUUGAAUCUUAAAACAAAUUUCAACUCGAGCAUUUAGUGAAUAUCAAAUUAACUAAUAUCCCGCCCGUAGGGCGGGCCUACCCUAGUAGUUAAAUAUAUUUAAGUUAAGUUAUUAUAUUUAAUUAAUGUAUUCCUUUUGUUCUGUAAAGAUGGCCUAAUAAACAAAAGCAAUAUGUAAAGUAUAUUUUUUUAUAACUGCUGUAUAUAUAUCUUAAUUAACUUUGAGAGUACACAUAGUUUUUUUUAUAACUGCUGUAUAUAUUUUGAUUGAAAUCGGAACAAACAAAAGAAGAAGAAAAUGAUAAACAAAAACGGUGAUUAAAUGUAUCGAUCUCAAAAUAUAAAAUACGAAAAUUAAAUUAUGGAAAUCAAAAAAGGCCUAGAUGUUAAAGAGAGCAAGAAGUAAAACAAAGUUUUAAAUGAUGAAAUAAAAUAGAAACAGUUAAAUACAAUUAAAUGAUGAUAGUUUUAACCAAUACGAAUAUAUAGUUAUGGAUCAAAAUAAUUAAUAUUGUUAGACAUAAAUAUAGGAGUGGCGUACCAUUGUAAAUAAAUUAUAAAACUAAAGAUAAUAUCUUAUUAGGGAUUAUCGUUUAAUAGUAUAGAUUAAAGUAAAACUUAAAAGUUUGACUUUGACCUUUCGUAGAUAUAUUUGAUUGAUUUGGCUUGUUUAAGAUAAAAACUAAAGUGAGGUUAUUGUUGCUUACGGGGCUGGUUUACAUUUGCCCAGUGUUUUUAAACCUGGAUCAAACCGGCGGUCGAGCCUGGUUGAACCAUGAACCGAAAAUAAUCCGGGUUGGGUUAAUGCUAAAACCCAACUAAAAUCAAACCAGUUAAAAACCCCAAUCGAACCGUAAAAAAUCUAGAAAAUGGUGACUCAAUGAGCAGUCAAACCCCGGUUCGUAUGUAAGCUAAAUUUGUGUUAACGAAAAAAUUAAUUUUUCUACUUUUUUAAGUAAAAAUAAAAUUUAUCAAAAAUUAAUAAAGUAUCGUUUCUCGUCUUUUUUUUUUGUCGUCUCUACAAUUCAUAAAUUACAAGAUUCACAAAGUUUAAUAUUCACGUCAAGAUAUUGUUUUUGUCUACUUCUCACUUUGUUUAAAUUUUUAUUUCACGAUCACUUGUUUUGAAGACUUUAAAUAAUUGAGAUAUUUACGUUUUUGAAAUUUGUAUUUCAAAAUAUAACUCUUACCUAUUGUGUAUAUAAUUUUUUUAUAGGUGAUGAAGAUUUAGAGUGAUAAGAUUUUGCAAAUAAAAUUUAAAUGUGCUUUUCAUAUUGAUUUUAGAUUUUCAUUGUUUUUUUUUAAGUUUUCUAUACAUUAUGGCUAUUUAAACAUUUUAUUUGAUAUGAUCUAUUUUUAAAAAACUAUACAUAUUAUUUAUAAAAUGUCAUUAAAUUUAGUUUAAUCAACUAAAAUUUAAAAUUGUUUAAAUUUAUUUAUAAAAUGUCAUUAAAUUUAGUUUAAAAAACUAUGCAUAUUAUUUUAAAAAACUAUGCAUAUUAGUAAACUCGGUUCAGAUCCGGUCGAACCACAAUGAUCCAUGACCCAAAUAAAUUCUGGUUUGCUAGCCGGUCUUGUUUUAAAAACACUGCAUUUGCCUUGAACAUUUAACUUUUUCUUAUGAAAAAGAUUUUUUUUUAUAGUUUAAACGAAUUUCUAUAUUUUUAUUAUUUAAAUCAACAACAGAAGAAAAUGCUAAAACAAAUGAGGUAAUCAUUAAAUAUUUUUAUAGAUACAAAAUAAUUGGUCUUGUCAGAUAUGACAUUCUUUUUAGCAAAACCACGAAUCUUAUUGUAGAUAAUGCUUAGAUCAUCUCCACCAUGAUUCAUAACAAUUCUAUUUUCUAAUUAUAUAACCAUUUAUUCUGUUUGGCCAUCAGCUUAGAUCAUCUUCCAUGCCGAUAUACUUUUCAUAAGAAGUUUUUCCAUCAGCUCAGCUCAUCGCCGUAAAAUAUUCUGCUGGAGCUACACUAAGAAUGGCUUAUACACGGUUAAGUUUGGAUAUUGGAUAGCUCAGAACAUAUUGAAAGCUGAGAAGGAGAAAAAAGUACUAGAGCCAAGUAUUACUAAGUUUCAAACAUUUGCUUGGACGAUAAAGACACCGCACAAGAUAUGCCAUCUUAUAUGGCACCUGAUAACAGAUCAUGUGGCAGUAACGAGAAAUUUGGUGCGGCGUAACAUAAGAUGCGAUAACUAUGGCCCACGAUGUGGUGAACCUGAAGAAUAUGUUAUCCAUGCCAUUUUUGAGUGUCCGCCAGCUCUACAAGCUUGGUCCAUAUCAUCGACAUCAACAAGUUUAGAUAUCUUUCCAUGCUCGAGUAUCUAUGUUAAUAUGGAUUAUCUUUUCUGGAGAAAGAACAACAUUGUCGAGCUAUAACUAGACAGAGAUCAUUAUCCCUGGAUAAUUUGGUACAUUUGGAAGGUCCGAAAUGACAAACUUUUUAGAGGAAUUGAUAGAGAUCCUUUGGAGUUAGUGCGCUAUGCAGAGAUUGAGUAUCAGGCCUGAUUCGAUGCAAACGAGAUGGUGACUCCAACUCCACAAGGCCAUAGUAUUGAGGAACCUCAAGUCUUAAGCUUUGGUAAUAUAUGCAUGAUAGAUGGGUCAUGGACAUCCACAUCAUAGUUCAGCGGGUGUGGAUGGGUUUGAAUAGAUAGCUUGGGGAAAGUUUAACUUAUGGGGACACGAAAUUAUAUACAACGAAAGUCUGCCCUGCAUUCCGAGGUAGAAGCAUUGCGAUGGGCGAUGGAGAGUAUGCUUCAGUAUUCGACAAGUCAGAGCUUUGGAACGGAUUGCAAGGAUUUGAUCGCCAUGAUAAAGGAGCCUCAUGCUUGGCCAAGCUUUGCAACAUAACUGGAGAGGAUAGCGACUCUGAAGAUAUGCUCCCCGGAUUUCAAAAUCACUCAUAUUCCACGAGCGCAAAAUCAGAUUUCAAAUUCUUUAGCUAGGACUGCGAGGUCUUUUCAUAGAAAAUUUUGUUGUGUUGGUUGUUUUAUUCCGGUCGGUUAUUCAGACUACUUUAAAUUUGACUAAUAGACUAACCAUUCGUUGCCAGAAAAAAACCAUUAAUCCUGUUGAAAUUUGGCUUCGAAUGUUUACAACCGUCCCGCCCCGCACCAUAGUUAACAGUAACAAAAAUCUCUACAUAUAUUAUAUAUCUAUACGUUUUUAUAACUGUUAAAACCGCACCGCAGUUGAACCACUUGUGCCGCACCGCUCAAACCGCAGUUACCGAGUUGAAGGUUUGACCGUAACAACAUGAUCUUCUUCUUCCAACGACUUGUUUCUUCUCUGUAACGGAAUCAAAUCCACCAUUGUUACAAGAGAAAAAGCUUAUGUGCAAAACAAUAAAGAGAGAUAGUGAAUUAAUAAUUUACCAUUCUGAAAGAGAUAUACCCAACGUCAUAGGAGACCUCUAAAACUUGGUUGUCUUGCGUUCUUCUUUUAGCUUUCUCUGUUCUUAGCAAUCACACUAGUGACUGGAGUCGCGAACUGACCAUACGUGAGAGUACCUGGGAGAGAGAACAAAGAGAGAAUUAUAGAUUGGGUUAGAUCAAUCGAAGAGCAAAUCAAUCAAGACGGAUACUUCGACACUAAUUAUUUUUAUUCUUAUUAGAUUUAUACCUUACCCAAUCCAAAGCAAAUUGCCAGUGUGAAAUUGAUCAUCGACGUCACACAGUUCUUGUCCUCCACCUUUCAAAUUCAAACACGGUGAUGGCCCGUCCAUCCCAAUUUCAAAUCUACAAACCUUAAUUCCAAAAUCCAUUUCAAAUUUGUUUUCCUUUCACCCUAUUUUACAACCAUUACUGUUACAGACUUCUAUUUAAUUCAUAAGACGAAUGAUUCAUUUUGUAGAGUUUCAUUUUUUAUAGCUCUCUCAUCUAUGAACAAUGUGUUAUAUCAGUAAGGUUCUUAUAUCAUAAGAUGAGUUUUUCUUUCUUUUUUUGCUAAAUUAUAUUCUACUAACUUGCAUGAGAAUAAAAAAGUUUACAAAGCCUGGUUUAGUGGCAAAUGCCUUACAAAUAAUCAAACUUGAAGCUAUUAGCAGCCCAACUAAAAGUUUACUUGCCCAAGCAAAUUAGUUAGCUAGCAGAAACAAGACGGAGGAUUGAGAGAGGAUGGGUGAUAUAGAGUUGCAGAUCGCCCUAGGAGGCAGUGAAGAAGAAAUCAGUGGCGCCAUGCUUGGAACAAAGAUGAAGAGAAUUGUGGAUCAUUCAAUUCGAAUUGCCGCAAUCCUUAACUUGAUGGUUUUAUCAAUUUCCUUGAUGAUAGCGGAUGGGUGUCUGAAUCUGUUUAUGUGGAGUCGACCGUUCCGUUCUGCCCAAAUGCAGUAGAUAGUAAGUAGCCUGCCAAGCCAAAAGCGUUAGUAGUCUGAUGUGUUGCGGUGAUUUCAGCCUUUCCAGAUUACCGAGUAAUACAUUCCAAUCUCUUGGUGUAGAGAAACCCGCUCUUCCUGCGAUCGAGUGCCAAACCUCCCAAGAGUAAGAGCAAGCGGAGAACAAAUGGUCCCUUGAUUCAAGUUCCGAAUUACAGAGGAUGAAAGUUGGAUCAGUGUCAAUUCCCGAGUCCACCAUUCUGUUUUUGGUAGGGCAUCUGUCAAGGACGAACAACCAAGAUAAGAAUUUGUGACGUGGAAUUCCCUGCGAGAACCAGAUCUCCUUACACCAAGGGACUCGUUGUUGCCUCACACACAGCAGGUGGUAGUCUCUAAUUGCCUAACUCCCAUAGUUCCGCCAAGGUCGCCGUCGCCGGAACUCCAGUGGUGCGAGAGCUUUCUCCUCGAAGGUAUUUUGAGAUGUUUCCAAAAGGUGACUAGUUACUCGACUAGAAAUAGCAAGUUUCGCCGUUUCCUACAACUUGUUUGAUCCAAUCAAAGACGGUGCAACAGUAAAUAGUUAGCAAGCCAAGAGUUCUUCUGUUUGGUGUUUUUUUUUAAAAUAUGAUAUAUUAAUUUAAUCAGCACCAAAAUGGGAGAUCAGAACAGUACACUUUGCCGGCGAACUGGGAAACGUCACGGCUAGGUUACAUACAAGAAGAGUGUAGAUAAACACUCUAGGACUUCUGUGAGAUACCAAGUAGCCCAAAUAGAGUCUUGCUUGAAGAAGAGUAGCCAGAUCAGCUUUAUGGCAGAUACGGUGUUCCAAGAGACCCAGUUCUUCAAACCCCAAACCUCCUUCCUGUUUUGGAGCACAGACCUUGUCCCAAGCAACUUUGGAGGCCCCACUGCCAUCCAGUUUUCCUUUCCAUAGGAACUUAGAACAAAGGGAGUCAAUUUCCGAUAAGAGGAGUUUUCUUUUCGUAAAGUUAUAUCAGUAAGGUUCUUGCUUUGUUUCUUUGUAUCAUGACAGCUUGAGAACUCAUCUUUAAAACGAAAUCACAAACCUAAUUCAGGAUUUAGAUUUCCAAAAGCUUUAAGCGUUGCCGUAUUAAAAACUGUACAAGUUUUGGCAAAAAAAAAAAAAAAAAA